AAUUUAGGUUGAGUUCAUUUAUUUGAAACAGACGGGGCCAACGUCCACCCUGAAUUCUUGCACUUCAGAGAAUUUCUGAAGGCAAGAUCUGAUAAGAAUCCUCAAGAUUUGCCAUCUGAAUUUAAAUCAAGCAGGAGUGGUCAAGACCCAUAGAUACUAUGGGGAAACAGACCAUCUUGUUCAGAGACUUGGAACAGGAGGAACUCAGCUGGGGACAUGAAGUCACGCACAAUGGGCUACAGUUUGCUUC